rnacentral:rRNA from 1 species
AGCGAACGCUGGCGGCGUGCCUAACACAUGCAAGUCGAACGUGAAAAGGGAAACCUGAGUAAAGUGGCGUACGGGUGAGUAACGCGUAGGUAAUCUACCCCAGAAUCUGGAAUAACCUGCCGAAAGGCGGGCUAAUACUGGAUAGAGCGAGGGAACUCGUAAGAGAGUUUUUCGGGAAGGGGAGCCCGCAAGGGCCUUCGUUCUGGGAUGAGCCUGCGUCUCAUUAGCUAGUUGGUAAGGUAACGGCUUACCAAGGCGAUGAUGAGUAGCUGGUCUGAGAGGAUGAUCAGCCACACUGGAACUGAAACACGGUCCAGACUCCUACGGGAGGCAGCAGUGGGGAAUCUUGCGCAAUGGACGAAAGUCUGACGCAGCCACGCCGCGUGAGUGAAGAAGGCCUUCGGGUUGUAAAGCUCUGUCGGAUGGGACGAACAUCUUCAUAGUGAAUAGCUAUGAGGACUGACGGUACCAUCAAAGGAAGCACCGGCUAACUCCGUG